CACCGCGGUUAUACGAGAGACCCGAGUUGUUAGACACCGGCGUAAAGAGUGGUUAAGAUUUAUCCAAGACUAAAGCCGAACGCCCUCAAAGCCGUUAUACGCACCCGAAGGUAAGAAGCCCAACCACGAAAGUGGCUUUAUAUUUAUCCGAACCCACGAAAGCUAUGACA
rnacentral:rRNA from 1 species